rnacentral:tRNA from 2 species
GGAGACGUGUCAGAGUGGUCGAUUGUGCCUCCUUGCUAAGGAGGUAGGGUGAAAGCCCUCCAGGGUUCGAAUCCCUGCGUCUCCG